UGUGAAUAUAUGUAGUGUGUUGGGUGUACUGUGGGAACACGUGUGUGUAUUUUUGUAAAUGGUGUAUGAUGGGAGAACCUUUCCCAUGUGCUGGACCCUGGGAAGACAAAUAUGCUGUUCCCUCCUUUUUCUAUACAGGCGCAUUUAUUAAUAGCCAGAUAUUAUUAGCUUGUUACCAAGACUGCAUUAGUUAUAUACAUACAGAAUUAUCAUUUCACAUAUAUCUAAUUGUGACAAACCAUUCCAUGGAUGUGUGCCACGAACUCCCGGUGGAAGCUUUGGCCUUCUCAGCAUUGGGCUUCUCAGCAGCCUGCGGACACUUCCCUGCCCUAAACCUGUUCCAGCCUAUCGUUGGGCCCUGUCCUCCACCCCCAACUUUUGGACCAGUGGUGGAUAUCCCAGUCCCAACUGGUGAGUUGACCUCUGAGAGAUGGU